rnacentral:rRNA from 1 species
CCUACGGGAGGCUGCAGUGGGGAAUAUUGCACAAUGGGGGAAACCCUGAUGCAGCGAAGCCGCGUGAGGGAAGAAGGCUUUCCGUAUGUAAAACUCUAUCAGCAGGGGAGAAAAUGACGGUACCUGACUAAGAAGCCCCGGCUAACUACGUGCCAGCAGCCGCGGUAAUACGUAGGGGGCAAGCGUUAUCCGGAUUUACUGGGUGUAAAGGGAGCGUAGUGGGCUGGGCAAGGCCGGAGUGAAAUUCCAGGGCUUAACCCUGGAACUGCUUUUGAAACUGUGCAGCUGGAGUGCAGGAGAGGCAAGCGGAAUUCCUAGUGUAGCGGUGAAAUGCGUAGAUAUUAGGAGGAACCCCAGUGGCGAAGGCGGCCUACUGGACUGCAACUGACGCUGAGGCUCGAAAGCGUGGGGAGCAAACAGGAUUAGAUACCCCAGUAGUC